GAUGAACGCUGGCGGCGUGCCUAAUACAUGCAAGUCGAGCGAAGCGGGGACGGGUGAGUAACACGUGGAUAACCUCCUAUAAGACUGGGAUAACUUCGGGAAACCGGAGCUUAACCCGCUACUUAUACAUGGCUCCGGAGUGUAUUAGCUAGUUGGUAAGGUAACGGCUUACCAAGGCACCGAUGCAUAGCCGACCUGAGAGGGUGAUCGGCCACACUGGAACUGAGACACGGGCCAGACGCCUACGGGAGGCAGCAGUAGGGAAUCUUCCGCAAUGGGCGAAAGCCUGACGGAGCAACGCCGCGUGAGUGAUGAAGGUCUUCGGAUCGUAAAACUCUGUUAUUAGGGAAGCGGUACCUAAACAGAAAGCCACGGCUAACUACGUGCCAGCAGCCGCGGUAAUAC
rnacentral:rRNA from 1 species